rnacentral:rRNA from 1 species
AACGAACGCUGGCGGCAUGCCUAACACAUGCAAGUCGAACGAACCCUUCGGGGUUAGUGGCGCACGGGUGCGUAACGCGUGGGAACCUGCCUUUAGGUUCGGAAUAACUCAGAGAAAUUUGAGCUAAUACCGGAUAAUGUCUUCGGACCAAAGAUUUAUCGCCUUUAGAUGGGCCCGCGUUAGAUUAGAUAGUUGGUGGGGUAAUGGCCUACCAAGUCGACGAUCUAUAGCUGGUCUGAGAGGAUGAUCAGCCACACUGGGACUGAGACACGGCCCAGACUCCUACGGGAGGCAGCAGUGGGGAAUAUUGGACAAUGGGCGAAAGCCUGAUCCAGCAAUGCCGCGUGAGUGAUGAAGGCCUUAGGGUUGUAAAGCUCUUUUACCAGGGAUGAUAAUGACAGUACCUGGAGAAUUAGCUCCGGCUAACUCCGUGCCAGCAGCCGCGGUAAUACGGAGGGAGCUAGCGUUGUUCGGAAUUACUGGGCGUAAAGCGCGCGUA